CAUGCAAGCCGAGGGGUAACAUGAGAGCUUGCUCUUGAUGACGACCGGCGCACGGGUGAGUAACGCGUACACAAUCUACCUUUAAGAGGGGGAUAGCCUUGGGAAACUGAGAGUAAUACCCCAUGUGAUUACUAAAAUUAUGUUAUGGUAAUUAAAGGAGCAAUCCGCUUAGAGAUGAGUGUGCGUCCCAUUAGGUAGUUGGUAGGGUAACGGCCUACCAAGCCGACGAUGGGUAGGGGGCGUGAGAGCGUGAUCCCCCACACGGGUACUGAGACACGGACCCGACUCCUACGGGAGGCAGCAGUAAGGAAUAUUGGACAAUGGGCGCAAGCCUGAUCCAGCCAUCCCGCGUGCAGGACGACGGCCCUCUGGGUUGUAAACUGCUUUUGUUAGGGAAGAAACGCCAGGAUUUAUCUUGGUCUGACGGUACCUAAAGAAUAAGCACCGGCUAACUCCGUGCCAGCAGCCGCGGUAAUACGGAGGGUGCAAGCGUUAUCCGGAAUCACUGGGUUUAAAGGGUGCGUAGGCGGCGUUAUAAGUCAGAGGUGAAAGGCCACCGCUUAACGGUGGGACUGCCUUUGAUACUGUAGUGCUUGAAUAAGGUUGAGGUUAGCGGAAUGAGUCAUGUAGCGGUGAAAUGCAUAGAUAUGACUUAGAACACCAACUGCGAAGGCAGCUGGCUAGACCUUUAUGACG
rnacentral:rRNA from 1 species